rnacentral:RNase_P_RNA from 1 species
CGCUCUUUGCCAUGCAAGGGGAGGAAAGUCCGGGCUCCAUAGGAUAAAGUGCCAGGUAACGCCUGGGAGACGUGAGUUUACGGAAAGUGCCACAGAAAAUAUACCGCCAUAGAUUUCAUCUAUGGUAAGGGUGAAAUGGUGCGGUAAGAGCGCACCGCGCAACUGGCAACAGUUGUGGCAGGGUAAACCCCACUUGGAGCAAGACCAAAUAGGAAUCCAGCCGGUGAAUGCCGGAACGUAUGAUCCGUACGGGAUUCGGGUAGGUCGCUUGAGGCAUUCGGUGACGAAUGUCCCAGAUGAAUGAUUGUCCUUG